rnacentral:rRNA from 1 species
CGGGGUGAGUAAUGUCUGGGAAACUGCCUGAUGGAGGGGGAUAACUGCUGGAAACGGUAGCUAAUACCGCAUAACGUCGCAAGACCAAAGAGGGGGACCUUCGGGCCUCUUGUCAUCGGAUGUGCCCAGAUGGGAUUAGCUAGUAGGUGGGGUAACGGCUCACCUAGGCGACGAUCCCUAGCUGGUCUGAGAGGAUGGCCAGCCACACUGGAACUGAGACACGGUCCAG